rnacentral:rRNA from 1 species
AUUGAACGCUGGCGGCAGGCCUAACACAUGCAAGUCGAACGAGUGGCGGACGGGUGAGUAAUGUCUGGGAAACUGCCUGAUGGAGGGGGAUAACUACUGGAAACGGUAGCUAAUAACGCAUACCAUCAGAUGUGUCCAGAUGGGAUUAGCUUGUUGGUGGGGUAACGGCUCACCAAGGCGACGCUCCCUAGCUGGUCCGAGAGGAUGACCAGCCACACUGAAAAGUAGACACGGUCCGGACUCCUACGGGAGGCAGCAGUGGGGAAUAUUGCACAAUGGGCGCAAGCCUGAUGCAGCCAUGCCGCGUGUAUGAAGAAGGCCUUCGGGGUGUAAAGUACUUUCAGCGGGGAGGCGUUACCCACAGAAGAAGCACCGGCUAACUCCGUGCCAGCGGCCGCGGUAAUUC